AUUGAACGCUGGCGGCAGGCCUAACACAUGCAAGUCGAGCGAGCGGCGGACGGGUGAGUAAUGUAUGGGGAUCUGCCUGAUGGAGGGGGAUAACUACUGGAAACGGUAGCUAAUACCGCAUACCAUCAGAUGAACCCAUAUGGGAUUAGCUAGUAGGUGAGGUAACGGCUCACCUAGGCGACGAUCCCUAGCUGGUCUGCGAGGCUGAUCAGCAACACGGGGACUGAGACACGGCCCAGACUCCUACGGUAGGCAGCAGUAGGGAAGCUGCGGCAAUGGACGAAAGUCUGAUCCAGCCAUGCGGCGUGUGUGAAGAAGGUCUGCGGAUUGUAAAGCACUUUAAGUUGGGAGGCGUGACCAACAGAGUAAGCACCGGCUAACUUCGUGCCAGCAGCCGCGGUAAUUC
rnacentral:rRNA from 1 species